rnacentral:rRNA from 1 species
GACGAAGGGGGCUAGCGUUGUUCGGAUUUACUGGGCGUAAAGCGCACGUAGGCGGAUCGUUAAGUCGGGGGUGAAAUCCUGGAGCUCAACUCCAGAACUGCCUUCGAUACUGGCGAUCUUGAGUCCGGAAGAGGUGAGUGGAACUCCUAGUGUAGAGGUGGAAUUCGUAGAUAUUAGGAAGAACACCAGUGGCGAAGGCGGCUCACUGGUCCGGUACUGACGCUGAGGUGCGAAAGCGUGGGGAGCAAACAGG